AUUUGGCAUGGCGAACCUGAUCAGCAACCGGUGGGGAGAAAGGCUUGGUUUAAAGCUUUUCGCCGAAAAAAUCGUGGGGUUAAUACCCUCAGCGUGACGGUACCGUCAGAAGAAGCCCCGGCUAACUAUGUGCCAGCAGCCGCGGUAAUACAGAGGGGGCGAGCGUUGUUCGGAAUUAUUGGGCGUAAAGCGUGUGUAGGCGGUUUGGUAAGUCAGAUGUGAAAUCCCCGGGCUUAACCUGGAAGUGCAUUUGAUACUGGGGAACUAGAGUGCGGGAGAGGGGAGUGGAAUUCCAAGUGUAGCGGUGAAAUUCGUAGAUAUUUGGAGGAACACCGGUGGCGAAGGCGGCCCCCUGGACUGAUACUGACGCUGAGACGCGAAAGCGUGGGGAGCAAACAGGAUUAGAUACCCUGGUAGUCCACGCCGUAAACGAUGGUGUAACUAGGUGUUGUGGAUAUGGACCCCUAUCAGUACCGCAGCUAACGCAGUG
rnacentral:rRNA from 1 species